UGAACGCUGGCGGCGUGCCUAAUACAUGCAAGUCGAGCGAACAGACGAGGAGCUUGCUCCUUCGACGUUAGCGGCGGACGGGUGAGUAACACGUAGGUAACCUACCUAUAAGACUGGGAUAACUUCGGGAAACCGGAGCUAAUACCGGAUAAUAUUUCGAACCGCAUGGUUCGAUAGUGAAAGAUGGCUUUGCUAUCACUUAUAGAUGGACCUGCGCCGUAUUAGCUAGUUGGUAAGGUAACGGCUUACCAAGGCAACGAUACGUAGCCGACCUGAGAGGGUGAUCGGCCACACUGGAAGUGAGACACGGUCCAGACUCCUACGGGAGGCAGCAGUAGGGAAUCUUCCGCAAUGGGCGAAAGCCUGACGGAGCAACGCCGCGUGAGUGAUGAAGGUCUUCGGAUCGUAAAACUCUGUUAUUAGGGAAGAACAAACGUGUAAGUAACUGUGCACGUCUUGACGGUACCUAAUCAGAAAGCCACGGCUAACUACGUG
rnacentral:rRNA from 1 species